rnacentral:rRNA from 1 species
UACGUAGGGUGCGAGCGUUGUCCGGAAUUAUUGGGCGUAAAGGGCUCGUAGGCGGUUUGUCGCGUCGGGAGUGAAAACACACAGCUUAACUGUGUGCUUGCUUCCGAUACGGGCAGACUAGAGGUAUGCAGGGGAGAACGGAAUUCCUGGUGUAGCGGUGAAAUGCGCAGAUAUCAGGAGGAACACCGGUGGCGAAGGCGGUUCUCUGGGCCGGAACUGACGCUGAGGAGCGAAAGCGUGGGUAGCAAACAGG